UGCAUCUCAAUGUUUCAAAGCAACCAGAAACCAGCAAAUCAAGAAAUGUUACGCCGCAGUCCCAGAUUACUCGCAAAAGGGUACUAUAAUCCCGAGGACCCCACGAUUCAACAGAUCUGCUCUAAGGAGACCCCCAUCAGGAUCUUCAAGAAAAGGGAAGGGAACUGCGGAGUGGGUGGGGCCUGUCGCAACUUAAUUAGCGAAUUUAAUGUGUGUGAUUUCCAGAGCCUGGAAAAAAAAGAUCCCAUGCUGACAUCUGAAAUAUCUCCUCAGCAUGCUUCCCCACCCAGCAGAUGUUUUUUAGUUGUGAGGAAGAUGGUUCUUCUUCCCCUCCUCCUCUGCCUGCUGGCGUUUGGUGUUUGGUUUUGCUACACGAGUGUUACUAAACAGCUGUUUCAGUCUGCAGCAUAUUUGGCACAGGACACAUUCAUACAGAAUCAAGCAGCUCUGAUUGAAGAGUUCAAGUUCCUGAAACUGACGAUAAGACAACAGAGUCUAGAACAAAAGGAAGAGUUCCAGAAACUGGCGAUAAGACAACAGAGGCUAGAACAAAAGGAUGGUGAAGAAUUCAUACGCAGGGCGCUCAGCCAUUUCCGAGCUGAUGGUAUUGGAAUGGCAGAUUACGCGCUGGAGUCUUUAGGCGCCGCUGUGAUAGCCAGUACAGAGACAGAUAAAUCUAAAUACUGCAAAUUGUUCGGCUUCAGUGAAUGGUGCAACAUUAAUAGCCCUGAAAAAGCUAUACAGCCGGAGGUCUUCCCUGGUAAAUGUUGGGGAUUUAAAGGUUCCGAAGGUUACCUUCUCAUCUCUCUGCCCUUCUCUGUACGCAUCACCCACGUGACGCUGGAGCACCUGCCCCGAGUGCUCUCACCCAAUGGCCACACGAGAAGCGCUCCGAGAGACUUUGCAGUUUAUGGAAAGGUUAACAAGAAAGAUGGAGGAAAACUUCUUGGAGAAUUCACUUAUGACCAGGACGGAGAACCGAUCCAGACCUUCGAAAUUCCGAACUCUCCGAGUGAGGCUUAUGAACUGGUGGAGCUGAGGAUCCUCAGUAAUUGGGGUCACCCUGAAUACACCUGUGUGUAUCGCUUUAGGGUCCACAGCCAGCCUGUCUGGUAAAAAAGGAAAGCUACAAUCAAAGGUUCAAACAAACAAAACACAUAAACAAAAAGGCCAAAUAUAAUACAAAAUGAACAAAUUUUUUUAGAAUAAAUAAAUAGGAUUUCUUCACACUGUGCAGAGAAAUCACACACAUUCUUACACAGUGACACAAUUAGACAUAAAAGACUGAAAUUCUUUACAGACAUGAUGAUGAUGUCAUAUAAAGCUGUUAUAAAACUGUGAAACACACACAUAGCAGCCCGGUUGAUGAAAAAGUUUUGCUCCUCAUUGAUGAUUGUGAUUAUCUUCCUUUAUUACGCAUUGCACACCGUAAGAGCUAGAAAUAAAACAAAUAAAAUACAAAAUGGUGUUUUCUGCAUAGAAAUGUACAAAAUAAACACCAAAACAAACAAUUAGAUAGCAGCACUAGCUAUUUUACAACUAAAGUAGCCUAAUUAGCAAUAAGCUAAUAUAAAAACAAAAACAUUCCAAAUAUAAGCACAUUAAACAAACAUUAGUGACCUUGAACCCUCAUCAAUCAGGUGCUAAAGCAAAACAUUCAUUAUUUUACUCGUUUGGCUGCUGCAUCAGACCAACUCCAUGUGCUGUUUACUACUGCUUUUUGCUUCAUUCACUGGGAGAAAUCGUGCUUCAAAAUAAUCCUCAUGGGAAAUAUAACAAACAAUUAGACAAAUAAUCAGAAGACAAACACAAAAGCAUAUAUUUUAUGACUCUGGAUGCAAAGUAAAUAAGAACAGAGUUAAAGGUUAUUCAUACACACCUCCAUCUAUUUCCACCAUCUGUACACAACACCAAACAUAAAUUAAGAUCAUUAUUAAUAGAUCUUAUAUAAUGGAUAUUAAUAAAUUAAGCGGGUUUUUAAUUAGCUUCUGUGAGAAUAUUUUGGUUGGUGUUGGACAUAUCAGCUCCGAGAAAACAAAAAUGUGAAACAGAGAACCAGUUGUACCAGUGUACGUAAACACAUUUCUAUACAAACACAUUUUAAUUGUACAAUUUAAACAAACAUCAUAAUUAAGCUUUUUAAAUAAAUCACAUUUUAUAAACAGGUUUUAUUGAUUUCCUUUUUUAAAAAUGUACUUAAAAAAAUUGUUUUAUCUUUUCCCCUGCAUCAUGUUGUAUCUAAUUAUUAGUAGGAUUGGUGAUCAUGUUGCUUUUCCCCCCAAAUUUUAUUUACUUUCAACAAAAUCAGAACAUAGGUUUAAUUUUGGAAACCUCCACCAAAACCCAAAAACUAAACACCCAACCCGUUUGCAGUACACAGUCAAACUGGAGAAAAGUUUUAAAAUGUUGAAUCAGUUAUGAGUAACUGAAUUAUUCACACUUUCCACUUCUUUAAUGAGAAUGCCGUAUGGACGGAUUGAACUCUCCACGAUCUCCUUCUCCUGCUCCGCUGUGCUGCCCACAGGAACGGGGAUGAGCCAGUAAUCAGUUUUAACUCGCCUUCGAUGCUCGUGCCGUGGAAGGAAACGGGCCACUCACCGGCUGCAGAGUGACUCCUCCAUCCUUUAGGACCAAGCCAUGCGUUUCCAUCCGGGUAUUUAUUCCGCACCCUCAGAGCGAAGCGGUACCACCCGACCGGCCGCUUGUACGGCUCACCUCCGCGAGAGCACGCUGAGGAAUCUGUCAACUUUCGGAAAUCAUAAUCAAAAUGUGGAUCAAAAAACUCCUCCAUGUCCACGAAUAGCUCGUUCCGUAAUGCAGAGAUUUCACUCUCGCUGAUUUUUAAACUGUUCAAUAACUCAUUCACAGUCAUCUCCCCAUCACCUUUCAAUGCCGUUGUUAAAGCAGCUGAAAGAAAAUUUUCAACUGUCAGUUUAUUGGCAACUUCCUGCGCUUUUCGGUCAGCAAGAGGUUUAACUGUAGCACCGGUGAGAGCGGAGAGAGCCUCCAACACGACUUCUCUGUCCAUUCCCGGCAUGAUGAACUCUUGAUUUGAGGCCUAACAGGUUCUGAAGAUCUGUGUUCACACUGAUAGAGUCUACAGCUCUGUGCUCAGAUAUUUAUACGAAUGGAAGUGUCUUACAGCGUGCCAGAAACAUUUCUGAAAUGGGAAUAUCACAUGAGAUGUGAAUACCAGCAGAUAACAUGUCUUGAUUCAUACCUGUAUCUUAUUACUGCCAAUCAGACAGACACAGAGAAAGAGAGAGAGAGAGAGAGAGAGAGAGAGAGAGAGAGAGCAUGUGAUGUACUGUAGCUGGCAGAGCUUGCCAGACGUACGCACACACACACACGCACACUAAACUGAACACCAUCCUACUCCCAUUGCAAUAUUUGCACAUUUCUGUACUUCAGAUAAACUGACAGUUCAAUGAAGAAAUGGUAAUGAAUGAGUGUUAUGUUGUGUGUAGAAGGUGGUGAUGGAACAGAUGGGUGUGAAAGCUCUGCUAAAAUGAAAGGAGAAGGAAAAGGUCAGGAAUGUAGCUGUACCGGGUCAUGUUUACACAAACACAUAUUACAUUAAACUGCUCACACACUUCUUACACACUUCUGAAGGUCCUGGUGAGAUUUACUAUACAGGGUCGAACACUUGUGGACUAAAUUAAUUCACUGAUGGAGUUCAUCAGACCAGAGACCCACUACAGGACAAGAGGCAUUCUCUCAGAAAGGAGAGAAUUUUCUCAGACUUUCAUAAACUUUUUAUUUUAGUAAUUAGUGAACUGAUAAUUAGUGAAAAGACUGAAGGAAACCAUUAGUGAUAUAACAGUGGGCAGUGUGGAGCUGUAAUCUACAUGACUGUUUAAACCCAUUUACCUUCAUUCUGGUAUCAGCUUUUAACUCAUGUCUGUUUGCAGUGAGAUUUUUUAUAAUAUUUUAUAACACAUGAAGUGAGAUAAGACCUCAUGUAUUAUAAAAUACUGCUACUGACCUAUAAAGCACCGAACGGUCUCGUGCCACAGUAACUUAGUGAACUUUUGUUCUUUUGCGAUACACCAUGCCUACUUUGAUCAAAAGGUGCAGAAUAUUUGUUGGUACCUCAAAUAGUAAAGUCUACUGUAGGGGGAAGAACUUUCUCUUACAAAGACAGUUAUGGAACAGCCUUCCAAUUAGUGGGGAUUCAGACACGGUCUCAGUUUUUAAUUACAGGCUAAAAACAGCCCCCACCCUUUCACACCUUCACCCAGGUUUGUUGAUGGAGAGGUACUCAUGAGAUGCCAGUGAUCCUGACCCCUUCUGCUCUCCAGAACUGCCUGAUCCAUCCUCAUGCCCUACUUCUGGUUCAGUUCUCAUCAAUUGGAAGUUACAUGCUGCUGCUGAGGAUGGCCUCACAUGGUGCAGCCUAAAGUUCGUGGAGUUUACUGAGGAUGGUACCACUUAAAAACCAUAAGAUGGCUUUGGACCUCAAUUCAUUUGAACAGUUAUGCUAUGAUAGCUUUAGGACUUUAAUUGCCACAAACAGUUCUGCACUCAAGUCUCCAUCAGUGAACAGUGGAGAAGUUCAACAAAACAGACUUCAUGUAAAAACUGUAAUGAAUUUUCCUGGUUACAAAACUGGACUAUUUGACCAUGAAGUAUUAGCACAUUUAUAGAAGGAAUUAAUUUAUAUUCACACUACCUGGUAUCAUCCAGAUGAGGAGUCUGGUUCCUCUCCAGGUUUCUUAGUCAUAUCGUCUCAGGGAGUUUUUCCUCACCACCUUCAGCUCUGGCUUGCUCAUUAGGAAUGAAUACAUUUAAAAAUCUAUAUCCUGAAUUUAUAUUUUUCUGUAAAGCUGUUUUGGGACAAUGUCCAUUGUUAAAAGUGCUACACAAAUAAAACUGAAUUGAAUUGAAUGUUUCUUCCAUUUUCA